GCUAGCUUAUUAUUAGUAUAAAAGCCAUAGAAAUCUGGAUUUCCUCUUCCACACACACCAUUAUCAAAGCUUUAGAGUUCAGAUUGAGUCUGUGUCCUUAGUUAGCUGAAGAUGAGCGACCCAAAAUAUGGUUAUCCCUACCCUGCUCAAGGCCAAGGUUAUUAUCAAGGCCCUCCAGUAAUGGCACCUCCACAGUAUGCUUAUGCUCCACCACCCAGGAGAGAACCAGGUUUCCUAGAGGGAUGCCUUGCAGCGUUGUGUUGCUGCUGCCUUGUUGACGAGUGUUGCUGCGACCCCUCCGUCCUCUUCAUCAUCUGAAUCAUCAGUAUCUUUGAUAUAUAGAUAGAUAUAUCCCUGCGUACUUGGAUUAAUUCGACUCCUCCUAUUUAAUUAUGUAAUGCGAGAUCUUGCUUGUUAUUGAUUCUGUAGUUUUCAUGUACAAGACCGAUCUACAUACUCGUUUCCAUUGUUGUACUCUAAUGUGCUAUAACUUCGAUUUAGAUUUUUCGUCUUGA